GACAGAGGGGGCAAGCGUUGCUCGGAAUCACUGGGCGUAAAGGGCGCGUAGGCGGCCUGAUAAGUAGGGGGGUGAAAUCCUGCGGCUUAACCGCAGGGCUGCCUUCUAAACUGUCGGGCUAGAGCACGGUAGAGGCAGAUGGAAUUCCCGGUGUAGCGGUGGAAUGCGUAGAGAUCGGGAAGAACAUCGGUGGCGAAGGCGGUCUGCUGGGCCGUUGC
rnacentral:rRNA from 1 species